rnacentral:rRNA from 1 species
UACAGAGGUCUCAAGCGUUGUUCGGAUUCAUUGGGCGUAAAGGUGCGUAGGUGGCGCCGUAAGUCAGGUGUGAAAUUUCGGAGCUUAACUCCGAAACUGCAUUCGAUACUGCCGUGCUUGAGGACUGGAGAGGAGACUGGAAUUUACGGUGUAGCGGUGAAAUGCGUAGAUAUCGUAAGGAAGACCAGUGGCGAAGGCGGGUCUCUGGACGAGUUC